CUAUCAAUUAACUUACUGUUUUCUAAAGUUCAAAGUCCAGAGAGAGGACAGGUGCAGUUUCAAUUGGUCUAGAAUAGAUGAUUCAUCACCAUCAUCCUGGUUCAACAGAACUGUCUUACUGGACACUGCUCUGGGUGGCACUACGAUGAUGACCCCCGGUGGGUGAGGCACCUAAGGAGUGUUUGAGGACCACCUCAGGGACUACUUUGAGAAGUUUGGCCCACCUAGUACAUUGCAUAAUGUUUAAAGCAUUCUUCUUUUUGUCCCUGCAAUUCCAGGGAUCCAAGGGAUGUGAGAUAACCUGUAGAAACUGGGGAUCCCUCCUGUUUGGUAUAGGAGAUGAACCUGCAUUCUGAUACCACACCACGAUCCAUUGCUUCAACUACCACCUCCAAGCUGAGGGCAGCACCUGAAUUUCUGUGGGCCGCUCUGCAAGCACCUGGAGGUAAGGGAAUCAAGACUGCUCCUGAGAGUUGAACUGGAUAAAUCCCUACACUGCAGAUGUGAUCAGCCUUUCACUCACUCAACAAAUAUUUAUUGAGCACCUACCCUGUGCCAUGUACUAUUGUAGACACUGGGCUUACUGGAAUAAGCAAAACAGAAAAUUCCCGAACAUUCUACUGGGGUAUUGUUGGGAGAGUAUAAUCCUAUGUAAUAAAGAUGUAAUAUGCAAA